rnacentral:tRNA from 1 species
AAGCAUAGUUUAGUGGUAGAACUUCAGCUUCCCAAGCUGACUGUGCGAGUUCGAUUCUCGUUGCUU